GCUUGCUUCUCUGGAUGAGUUGCGAACGGGUGAGUAACGCGUAGGUAACCUGCCUGGUAGCGGGGGAUAACUAUUGGAAACGAUAGCUAAUACCGCAUAAGAGCAGUUGUUGCAUGACAGCUGUUUAAAAGGUGCAAUUGCACCACUACCAGAUGGACCUGCGUUGUAUUAGCUAGUUGGUGAGGUAACGGCUCACCAAGGCGACGAUACAUAGCCGCCCUGAGAGGGUGAUCGGCCACACUGGGACUGAGACACGGCCCAGACUCCUACGGGAGGCAGCAGUAGGGAAUCUUCGGCAAUGGGGGCAACCCUGACCGAGCAACGCCGCGUGAGUGAAGAAGGUUUUCGGAUCGUAAAGCUCUGUUGUAAGAGAAGAACGAGUGUGAGAGUGGAAAGUUCACACUGUGACGGUAUCUUACCAGAAAGGGACGGCUAACUACGUGCCAGCAGCCGCGGUAAUACGUAGGUCCCGAGCGUUAUCCGGAUUUAUUGGGCGUAAAGCGAGCGCAGGCGGUUAGAUAAGUCUGAAGUUAAAGGCUGUGGCUUAACCAUAGUACGCUUUGGAAACUGUUUAACUUGAGUGCAAGAGGGGAGAGUGGAAUUCCAUGUGUAGCGGUGAAAUGCGUAGAUAUAUGGAGGAACACCG
rnacentral:rRNA from 1 species